rnacentral:rRNA from 1 species
CCUACGGGAGGCAGCAGUGGGGAAUUUUGGACAAUGGGCGCAAGCCUGAUCCAGCCAUGCCGCGUGAGUGAAGAAGGCCUUCGGGUUGUAAAGCUCUUUCAGCCGGGAAGAAAUCGGCGACUCUAACAUAGUCGCUGGAUGACGGUACCGGACUAAGAAGCACCGGCUAACUACGUGCCAGCAGCCGCGGUAAU